CAUUAAGUUAUGUUCUUAAUCCUUAGUUGAAGCACCGAAACGAGAAGACUAAGUGAUAGAUAAUCAAGAAAUUGGAUUUAAUUAACUUAGAUCUAGAAAUAAACUAAGGAUUAAGAAGAUUUAUAGAUUAAUUAAGGAACCUAAUGGGUCUUGAUUAAUUUUAACUCUAUGAAAGUAGGAUUAAGUUAAUUAAGGCACUCUUUGUAUCACUCGAAAGAGUUUUCAAAGGA
rnacentral:misc_RNA from 1 species